rnacentral:lncRNA from 1 species
GGGUUCUGCAUCCAACCUCAGGCAAAGGUGCAAGUCAUGGGGGUUUCCCAGUGAGUGGAAUGGCCUGAUGGGCAUGUCAUCUCUACUCCAUGGCUGGGGAAUGGGGAUGAGUCAUUUGCUUAGCAGGACUUUACUGAUUGCAUAUUGCAAAACUUUGUAUAUUAAACCUAUGAAAAAUGAGUUCAAAUCAAAGAUCACACAUCCAAAUGGCCUACAAUCUCCAGGAAGAUCAGACACAUGGGUCAAAAGGAAGAGGCAUAGCAAUGGAAAUU